CCUAACUUUCUUUCUGAGGCGAAUCAUGGCAACGAGUACGGGUACUGUAACAGCACAUCACUUUCAUGUUUAAGUGUAGUUGUUCCGCUGGAAUAUCAAAAUGUUUCAUUGGUGUGCAUUAUUCUAGACAAGAAGUUACAGGAUGCUUCUGUUGUAAAGGAAGAGUCUUCGAACACACAGAACAUUCAGUUCUUGGAGGACCUCGACAAUAGACUUGUUACUCUGGAGGACAAGAUGGAGCUAAGCAACGCUGUCCUGAGGGAUUUGAUGGAACUGCGAAGUGUCUUAGCGGACAAGAAUCUAAGUGAUCAACCAUUUCCAGCACAAAAGUGAAUCAAUAACUACGAUGUAUGUUUUUAUAUUAGUAAAGCAUAUUCUGACAAAUAAAUGGUACAUAAAG